rnacentral:sRNA from 1 species
AGCUGAUGCACAUGGCGGCUUCUCCUCCCAGUGCCGCCGCACCAGCUGUUCCCCUCUGGAGGUUUAGAUUACCUUCACACCUUAUAGGGCCGCGGUCGCCGCUGGCCCUCUUUU